UACCGAGGUCCCAAGCGUUGUUCGGAUUCACUGGGCGUAAAGGGUGCGUAGGCGGUCGGGUAAGUCUGAUGUGAAAUCUCGGAGCUCAACUCCGAAACUGCAUUGGAUACUAUUCGGCUUGAGGUCUGGAGGGGGGACUGGAAUUCCUGGUGUAGCGGUGAGAUGCGCAGAUAUCAGGAGGAACACCGAUGGCGAAGGCAGGUCUCUGGGCCACUACUGACGCUGAGACGCGAAAGCGUGGGGAGCGAACAGG
rnacentral:rRNA from 1 species